rnacentral:rRNA from 1 species
AUGACCAGCUUGUUCGAAAAUAUACUCUGGCUAAUACAUAAUGACAUCAUCAGUUGCACUUACUUAAAGGCAGUAUAUAGAAGAGAGGGAGCUGUGCAGAUGAUACUUAAGGAUGAGUGCCUAAAGUUCUCUCAUCAGAUUCCUUGCUUCCAUCUGACAAAUGGAAAGGGGGCUAGCUUCGAGGUUGUUUCGAGCUCGAUCCUUACUCAGUGCAUGAGAGGUUUCUCGCCACUGAUUCAAUGUGAGAUAACCCUGUUUAUGGUGAAUCUUUUGGAAGCCUCUUUUGGCGGUGGAACUACAAGUCUACAAGACGGAAGGUUCUGCAUAAGCUGA